CAACCAAUCAAAAUUCUGUUUACAUAAUCAGUUUGAUCGGUCACCUUCCUCUGUCGGUUGAGUAAAGUGUCAUCCAAGCUGAUGUUUAUUGGUAAUUAAACUUAUUUUGCAACACUUGUGCGUAUUUAUCAGCUUUGGUUUUGUUGAUAAAAAUUAUCAACAACUUUUCCUGUCAUCAUGGUUUGAGAAGACACACAGAAGUAUGCUAAAGAUCGGACAUAAUCCUUUGUGGAUCUCUUAAAUACCUUGUCUCCAUCAAAACAUGUAAUCAGUCCAGCAAGUUUUGGCUGAGGAAAAGAAUUAUUUUUGAUGUGUACUUGCCAGGCAAACAAUUUGAUCC